GGGUUGUGAGGUUAAGCGACUAAGCGUACACGGUGGAUGCCCUGGCAGUCAGAGGCGAUGAAGGACGUGCUAAUCUGCGAAAAGCGCCGGCGAGGUGAUAUGAACCUUUGACCCGGCGAUGUCCGAAUGGGGAAACCCAGUGUGUUCCGACACACUAUCGUUAACUGAAUACAUAGGUUAACGAGGCGAACCGGGGGAACUGAAACAUCUAAGUACCCCGAGGAAAAGAAAUCAACCGAGAUUCCCCCAGUAGCGGCGAGCGAACGGGGAGCAGCCCAGAGUCUGAAUCAGCUUGUGUGUUAGUGGAAGCGUCUGGAAAGUCGCACGGUACAGGGUGACAGUCCCGUACACGAAAGCACACAGGUUGUGAACUCGAAGAGUAGGGCGGGACACGUGGUAUCCUGUCUGAAUAUGGGGGGACCAUCCUCCAAGGCUAAAUACUCCUGACUGACCGAUAGUGAACCAGUACCGUGAGGGAAAGGCGAAAAGAACCCCGGCGAGGGGAGUGAAAUAGAACCUGAAACCGUGUACGUACAAGCAGUGGGAGCACCUUCGUGGUGUGACUGCGUACCUUUUGUAUAAUGGGUCAGCGACUUAUAUUCUGUAGCAAGGUUAACCGUAUAGGGGAGCCGAAGGGAAACCGAGUCUUAACUGGGCGUUAAGUUGCAGGGUAUAGACCCGAAACCCGGUGAUCUAGCCAUGGGCAGGUUGAAGGUUGGGUAACACUAACUGGAGGACCGAACCGACUAAUGUUGAAAAAUUAGCGGAUGACUUGUGGCUGGGGGUGAAAGGCCAAUCAAACCGGGAGAUAGCUGGUUCUCCCCGAAAGCUAUUUAGGUAGCGCCUCGUGAACUCAUCUUCGGGGGUAGAGCACUGUUUCGGCUAGGGGGCCAUCCCGGCUUACCAACCCGAUGCAAACUACGAAUACCGAAGAAUGUUAUCACGGGAGACACACGGCGGGUGCUAACGUCCGUCGUGAAGAGGGAAACAACCCAGACCGCCAGCUAAGGUCCCAAAGUCAUGGUUAAGUGGGAAACGAUGUGGGAAGGCACAGACAGCCAGGAUGUUGGCUUAGAAGCAGCCAUCAUUUAAAGAAAGCGUAAUAGCUCACUGGUCGAGUCGGCCUGCGCGGAAGAUGUAACGGGGCUAAACCAUGCACCGAAGCUGCGGCAGCGACACUAUGUGUUGUUGGGUAGGGGAGCGUUCUGUAAGCCGUUGAAGGUGGCCUGUGAGGGUUGCUGGAGGUAUCAGAAGUGCGAAUGCUGACAUAAGUAACGAUAAAGCGGGUGAAAAGCCCGCUCGCCGGAAGACCAAGGGUUCCUGUCCAACGUUAAUCGGGGCAGGGUGAGUCGACCCCUAAGGCGAGGCCGAAAGGCGUAGUCGAUGGGAAACAGGUUAAUAUUCCUGUACUUGGUGUUACUGCGAAGGGGGGACGGAGAAGGCUAUGUUAGCCGGGCGACGGUUGUCCCGGUUUAAGCAUGUAGGCGGAGGUUCCAGGUAAAUCCGGUACCUUUUAACGCUGAGGUGUGAUGACGAGGCACUACGGUGCUGAAGUAACAAAUGCCCUGCUUCCAGGAAAAGCCUCUAAGCAUCAGGUAACAUCAAAUCGUACCCCAAACCGACACAGGUGGUCAGGUAGAGAAUACCAAGGCGCUUGAGAGAACUCGGGUGAAGGAACUAGGCAAAAUGGUGCCGUAACUUCGGGAGAAGGCACGCUGAUAUGUAGGUGAAGCCCCUGCGGGUGGAGCUGAAAUCAGUCGAAGAUACCAGCUGGCUGCAACUGUUUAUUAAAAACACAGCACUGUGCAAACACGAAAGUGGACGUAUACGGUGUGACGCCUGCCCGGUGCCGGAAGGUUAAUUGAUGGGGUUAGCGGCAACGCGAAGCUCUUGAUCGAAGCCCCGGUAAACGGCGGCCGUAACUAUAACGGUCCUAAGGUAGCGAAAUUCCUUGUCGGGUAAGUUCCGACCUGCACGAAUGGCGUAAUGAUGGCCAGGCUGUCUCCACCCGAGACUCAGUGAAAUUGAACUCGCUGUGAAGAUGCAGUGUACCCGCGGCAAGACGGAAAGACCCCGUGAACCUUUACUAUAGCUUGACACUGAACACUGGUCCUUGAUGUGUAGGAUAGGUGGGAGGCUUUGAAGUGUGGACGCCAGUCUGCAUGGAGCCGUCCUUGAAAUACCACCCUUUAAUGGCUGGUGUUCUAACGUAGACCCGUAAUCCGGGUUGCGGACAGUGUCUGGUGGGUAGUUUGACUGGGGCGGUCUCCUCCCAAAGAGUAACGGAGGAGCACGAAGGUUAGCUAAUCCUGGUCGGACAUCAGGAGGUUAGUGCAAUGGCAUAAGCUAGCUUGACUGCGAGAGUGACGGCUCGAGCAGGUGCGAAAGCAGGUCAUAGUGAUCCGGUGGUUCUGAAUGGAAGGGCCAUCGCUCAACGGAUAAAAGGUACUCCGGGGAUAACAGGCUGAUACCGCCCAAGAGUUCAUAUCGACGGCGGUGUUUGGCACCUCGAUGUCGGCUCAUCACAUCCUGGGGCUGAAGUAGGUCCCAAGGGUAUGGCUGUUCGCCAUUUAAAGUGGUACGCGAGCUGGGUUUAGAACGUCGUGAGACAGUUCGGUCCCUAUCUGCCGUGGGCGCUGGAGAAUUGAGGGGGCUGCUCCUAGUACGAGAGGACCGGAGUGGACGCAUCACUGGUGUUCGGGUUGUCAUGCCAAUGGCACUGCCCGGUAGCUAAAUGCGGAAAAGAUAAGUGCUGAAAGCAUCUAAGCACGAAACUUGCCCCGAGAUGAGUUCUCCCUGAGACUUUAAGUCUCCUGAAGGAACGUUGAAGACGACGACGUUGAUAGGUCGGGUGUGUAAGCGCAGCGAUGCGUUGAGCUAACCGAUACUAAUGAACCGUGAGGCUUAACCUUACAACGCCGAAG
rnacentral:rRNA from 1 species